UGUAGAUAUUUUUCAGACAGCAAAGGUUUCAAAAAUACUAUUGAUGAUGGAAAAAGGAACCCUUCCUGUCGAAUAUAAAGGCAAAUCGAUAAACGAAAUAGACAUUGAUAUGGACUAUCCUGAAGAAAAUGAACCUAAAAGUCCUCGUCACCAAAUGCGCCCACACAAGACAAUGAAAUAUUGUUUGUGUGCAAAAAAGAAAAUAUUGAAGCGAAUAAAGAUAAUAAUAUUUUUGACCAACCGAUUCCUGAAAACAUUAAGAAGAACGAGGAUCAAGAAACUGCUGAUAUAGAUAAGCCAAAAGUCUACAAAGUUGUAAAUAAACGAUCAUUGAGCAAGAAUGAAGUGAAUUGCAUCCAGAAGGAGUUUGCACAAUACCUCCAAACAAACACUUACCCACCGUCAGCUAAAAUAAGAGAAUUUAUUACAUCCUAAGAGAAGUGUAUCCGUCAUAAAAUCCAAAAUACAACAUUUGCUGAAGUUAAGAAAACAGU